AUUUUGUUGGUGUUAUCAUAACUUUUUGAUGUUGAAUACUAUGUUUUUAAGUAAACCUUGAGGUCAUUCUUUUUAGAACACAAAGGCUAAGGGAAGUUAUGUUUGUUUUCAUAGCCAUGAAAGGAAGUUUGUGAAAGUGUUGUUCCUUGUGCUAUUGGGUGUGGUGCCAUCCAAAGCUAAUCUACCUUAUCUUAGAAGUGUUUGCCCACUGUGUGAUUGCAUGGUAUAACCCUGUGCUUAUGUCGAGGUCUGCUGAUAUAGCAGAUUUAGUGAAAAAUAAAAAUCUCAUUGAUUUAUCAAGACCAGUCUCCAUGCUUGUCUCAGAGCAGCGUGAAACGGUGCUGAAGUAGUUGACCACACCCGGGUAGGCUUCAAAUCCUAGUAAAACAAUUGGAUGACUUUGGGUGUUCCAGUAAGUAUUCUUAAAAUAACUCCAGCACAGAGAAGAGAAAGGAGCCUUGAAUAAUUAAACAUGUCGUUAAGAUACUGUUAGAAUUGGGGAUUAUGGUCACGGACAGGGCUAUUCGCCUGUGUUACGCCGAACGCGAAAACCCAGGAAAAUGAACAGCGAGACUAUUCAAGCCAUCGACUCACUGAUGGUUGAAGAUGAUGAGCGAUUGACAAAUGCAGUCUGGAAUCUGCUGGCAUCACAGCACAACAUCACUCUAAGCACCGUCAGAAGACAGUUGAAGAAACUUGAGUGGACUUAUGGAAAGGCUCUGUAAGGGCCAGUCAAGGUGGAAGUUUGAAUUGAUCAUGACAUCCUUUGACCUGUGGGGGAGCAGUGAACUAUUCUCCUCUGGAGUAUGGGCCCUGAGAAACCUGAUCCACAGGAUGCCGACCACCCCUCCCUCCUCCCUCUAUGCCCACCCACCAGCUUUCCCGGCCUUUUCCUCCACCACACCACCCGCCCCCCCCUGUUCCCCGUACCCCUCCCCACCAUGCUCCCCAGGCCCUGGGGUGAAGGGGAUUGGAGGUUCCGGAGGGGUGACCCUGCGUUCUCCAGCCACUCGUCACCUCACCCACCUGGACCCCUGGAGGAGGCAUAGCUGGGAGCCUGUGGCUGUACUGACAGUGCAGCAGCAGGGGACGGAGCCCAGCGACAACCACAG
rnacentral:lncRNA from 1 species